rnacentral:rRNA from 1 species
GCGCAGGCGGUUGCUUAAGUCUGAUGUGAAAGACCCCGGCUCAACCGGGGGGGGUCAUUGGAAACUGGGGGACUUGAGUGCAGAAGAGGAGAGUGGAAUUCCAUGUGGAGCGGUGAAAUGCGUAGAUAUAUGGAGGAACACCAGUGGCGAAGGCGGCUCUCUGGUCUGUAACUGACGCUGAGGCUCGAAAGCGUGGGGAGCAAACAGG